GACGAACGCUGGCGGCGUGCUUAACACAUGCAAGUCGAACGGAAAGGCCCUGCUUGCCGGGUACUCGAGUGGCGAACGGGUGAGUAACACGUGGGUGAUCUGCCCUGCACUUCGGGAUAAGCUUGGGAAACUGGGUCUAAUACCUGAUAGGAGCCAUCUUUAGUGUGGUGGUUGGAAAGUUUUUUCGGUGUAGGAUGAGCUCGCGGCCUAUCAGCUUGUUGGUGGGGUAAUGGCCUACCAAGGCGGCGACGGGUAGCCGGCCUGAGAGGGUGUACGGCCACAUUGGGACUGAGAUACGGCCCAGACUCCUACGGGGGGCAGCAGUGGGGAAUAUUGCACAAUGGGCGCAAGCCUGAUGCAGCGACGCCGCGUGGGGGAUGAAGGCCUUCGGGUUGUAAACUCCUUUCGCUAGGGACGAAGCUUUGUUGUGACGGUACCUAGAUAAGAAGCACCGGCUAACUACGUG
rnacentral:rRNA from 1 species